GUAGUGGGACCUGCGUAUCCUGCGCUUUCCACGAUGAUGGACCCAAUCAUAUUACAGCAGGGCUUGUUUUGCCAGGAACGUCCGUGGGAUUCCGAAUAACGCCGAUGCGGCACUUGAAAGCGUCAGGUAAAAUAUCCAUAAAAACAUUCCCGAAAUGAUUUACAGUGCCGUGUUUUCUCGCUUAAAUGACAUAACUUUAAGUUGAAAGCACUGACAUGGUGUACUGGUUAGUUGUCGCUGAGCAAACAUUAUCUUAUCUAGCAUGUGUUUACAGGCUUUUUGUUCAUUGUUGACCUUGGCGUAAUUUCAACAGACCGACCUACUUAUUUAUUACUUAUUUGAGCCCAGUUGCCAACUUAGUGGAGAAUGUCACUGUGGGUGACACAGGCGGUCAUGAGGCGGUCUCUACGCUCCUGCGUCUAUUCGGUCAAACACUGCAGCCCUAUCGUGACAGUUUCAGACAUGAACACAUGUUCCUCCAACCAACAGUUGGUUCACAUUGAUGGCACAAGGCAAAUCCACCCGUGGCGGGUUACCAAUUUCAACGGUUUAGUGAGGUUCCACUCGCAGGAUUCCAGUUUGGGACCAGAGAAAACUGAGCUUGUAUCUACUCCAGUGGCGGGGUCCUUAGUUAUGGAAGAGGUCCAGUCCCCCUCAGGCCAGAGACAGAGGAGAUCCCCUUUCUUUGAGCACCUGCAGCACUGUGGCUCCCCAUCAGAUGUGCUUAACCUCAGGCAACAAUAUAAACCCUCACCUCGACAAAUUAGCAACUGCCUUACGCACAUGUGGGCCAGCAUCAAGAAGAUGUCUGAUGAGCAGCGGCGCUGUGAGCUCCAGCUGAUGUUGGAGCAUCCCGCAUUUGACCAGCUCCUGCAAGAUGCCAUGACCGCUGUGGGCUCCAUGCGAAAUGAAGACUUGGCUUACUGUCUCCUGGCUAUGGUGAAUCUGGGUGUGCCCCAACGAAGCCGUGUGGUCCAACUGUACCUCCGUGCCUGCCAGGAGAUGUUGAAUGACUUUGAUGAGAAGAGUCUGUCCAUUUUGGCCUCGUGUCUGGAACAGAUGGUGAACACGCCCAUUGUUGAUGCACUGAAACAAGGCUUGAGGUUGGUAGUUGAGGCGUCUCUUCCCAGGAUACAGAAUGUUUUGGCGCUCCAGACCGUGAUGCGUCUCUUGGGUAAAGAUAUGUCGCUUGACGUCAAACGGAAACUUGAGCGAAAAGCCUUAUCAAUGACAGAGCAGUUCACCCUUCCCAACACACAGUACUUGAUCUCCACCAUGGCCAAGAUGGGCUUCUAUUCCAAAUCACUGCUGGAUAUCUGCAGUCAGAGAAUUACAGAAAACCUCCAUGGAAUCCCAUUUAACAGACUGCUAACAGUGUUGCUGUCGUGUCGGGAGCUGCACUACAAAGACUUUGCCCUGCUUACUGGCAUCUCGGACUACAUUGCCUCCACAUUAGACAUAUGGACUCAAAAGGAGGUAGUCCUCUUCCUGUCCGUCUUUGAGAGCCUUGCCUUUUGUCCUGCAGCAUUGAUGGCGACGUUUUCCGAAAGAAUCAUCGCCAAUCCAGGCGCUUUGUCGCUUCAAGACCUUCUCUGUGUCCUCAAAGUGUACUCGUCCCUCAACUCUUGCCUGCAGCAUGACAGAGAGCAGUUUCUGCAGAGUCUCAGCCAGGCUCUGGAUUUCUACCUGCCCAGGAUGUCUGGUUACGAACUGUUAAAGGCUUGUUAUUGUCUCUGCCUUCUUGGUCACUUCCCAUCCAUGCCACUGCAGAAACUCCUACAGGGUACCACCCUGGAGAUGCUGAGUAGCAGAGCAGUGAAGUAUCUCAGGAAACAGGAGCAAAUGUUUCAGACUUUGCACCUGUGCCUCCAUCUUGACCAGCCUGUUCUCCCUCGGCCAUUGAGUGUCCCUGCACCUAUGCUGGGAGAAGUGAGAUGCGGUGGUCCACCUGCCAAUCAGCGGCUCUCGCAACUCCUACAAAGGGUGUUGUCCGACCAAGCAAAUGUAGUGCUAGAGGAAAUGGUGGUGGUAGAGAACUUAUACUUCAUAGAUGGCGUGAUAAGCAAACCCGUGGCAAAACAAGCCUCAAGUGAAGAAACACAAGCACAAAGCAUUCCAUUCAUCCAUCCAUCCAUCCAACCAUUUUCUACUGGUUAUCCGAGGUCAGGUCAUGGGGGCAGUAGCUUUAGCAGAGACGCCGAGCCUUCCCUCUCCCCAGCCACUUUAUCCAACUCUUCCAGGGAAGAUCCCGAGGCGGUCACAGGCCAGCCAAGAGACGUAUUCUCUCCAGCGUGUCCUGGGUCAUCCCCGGGGUCUCCUCGCGGCGGGAUGUGCCUGGAACACCUCACCAGGGAGGCGUCCGGGAGGCAUCCGAAUCAGAUGCCCCAGCCGCCUCAUCUGGCUCCUCUCGAUGUGGAGGAGCAGCGGCUCUACGCUGAGAUCCUCCCGGAUGACCGAGCUUCUCACCCUAUCUCUAAGGGAGAGCCCGGACACCCUGCGGAGGAAACUAAUUUCGGCCGCUUGUAUCCGGGAUCUUGUUCUUUCGGUCACAACCCACAGCUCAUGACCAUAGGUGAGGGUAGGAACGUAGAUCGACCGGUAAAUUGAGAGCUUCGCCUUUCGGCUUAGCUCCUUCUCCACCACAACAGACCGAUACAAAGUCCGCAUCACUGCAGACGCUGAAUCGAUCCGACUGAGGACCACGGUCUCAGAUUUGGAGGAGCUGAAUCUCAUCCCAGCCGCUUCACACUCUGCUGCGAACCGCUCCAGUAAGAGUUGGAGAUCACGGCUUGAUGAAGCCAACAGAACCACAUAAUCUGCAAAAAGCACAGAUGCAAUUCUGAGGCCACCAAGCCGGACCCCCUCUACGCCUAGGCUGCUACUCCAACCCUCACAGAGUACGACUUAUUGCCGGCAAUGCGGACCAAACUCUGACACUGGUCGUACAGGGACCGAACAGCCCGUAUCAGGCGGUGCGGUACCCCAUACUCAUGAAGCACCCCCCACAGGACUCCCCGAGGGACACGGUCGAACGCCUUCUCCAAGUCCGCAAAACACAUGUAGACGGGUUGGGCGACCUCCCAUGGACCCUCAAGGACCCUGCCGAGGGUGUAGAGUUGGUCCACUGUUCCACGGCCAGGACGAAAACCACACUGCUCCUCCUGAAUCUGAGAUUCGACUUCCCGACGGACCCUCCUCUCCAGCACCCCUGAAUAGACCUUACCAGGGCGGCUGAGGAGUAUGAUUCCCCCUGUAGUUGGAACACACCCUCCGGUCCCCCUUCUUAUAAAGGGGGACCACCACCCCAGUCUGCCAAUCCAGAGGCACUGUCCCUGAUGUCCACGCGAUGUUGCACAGGUGUGUCAACCAGGACAGCCCCACAACAUCCAGAGCCUUUAGGAACGCCGGGCGAAUCUCAUCCACCCCCGGGGUCUUGCCACUGAGGAGCUUUUUUACCACCUCCGUGACCUCAAGCCCAGAGAUAGGAGAGCCCGUGUCAGAGACCCCAGCCUCUGCUUCCUUAUGGGAAGGCGUGUCGGUGGCAUUGCCCGAUCCCCACAAUACACAGUGUCGAUGGUACACUGCUUCCUCCUCCUGAGACGCCGGAUGGUGGAUCAGAAUUUCCUCGAAGCCGUCCAGAAGUCUUUUUCCAUGGGCUCACCGAACUCCUCCCAUGCCCGAGUUUUUGCUUCAGUGACCACCAAAGCUGCAUUCCGCUUGGCCAGCCGGUACCCAUCAGCUGCCUCAGGAGUCCCACAGGCCAAAAAAAGCCCGAUAGGACUCUCUUCUUCAGUUUGACGGCAUCCCUCACGGAGAUUACUGCCACAACAGGCACCGAACACCUUAUGGCCACAGCUCCAGGCGGCCGCCUCAGCAAUGGAGGUGUGGAACAUGGUCCACUCAGACUCGAUGUCCCCCGCCUCCCCCGUGAGCAAAGUUGUGCCGGAGGUGGGAGUUGAAACUCCUUCUGACAUGGGAUUCUGCCAGACGUUCCCAACAGAGCUUCAGAAUACGUUUGGGCCUGCCAAGUCGGACCGGCAUCUUCCCCCAUCAUUGGAGCCAACUCACCACCAGGUGGUGACCGCUUGACAGCUCUGCCCCUCUCUUCACCCGAGUAUCCAAGACAUGUGGCUGCAAGUCCGAUGACCCGACCACAAAGUCGAUCAUCGAACUGCGACCUAGGGUGUCAUGGUGCCAAAUGCAUGUGUGGACACCCUUAUGCUUGAACAUGGUGUUCGUUAUGGACAAUCCGUGACGAGCUCAGAAAUCCAAUAACAGAACACCGCUCAGAUUUUGAUGAGGGGGACCGUUCCUCCCAAUCACGCCCUUCCAGGUCUCACUCUUAUUGCCCAAGUGAGCAUUGAAGUCCCCCAGCAGAACGAUGGAGUCCCAACCGGGAGGCAGAGGGAGGCUACCCUCUCGUCCACCGGGGUGAACCCCAACGUACAGGCGCCGAGCCGGGGGGCAAUAAGUAUACCCACACCUGCUCGGCGCCUCUCACCGUGGGCAACUCCAGAGACAAAGAGAGUCCAACCCCUCUCAAGAGGACUGGUACCAGAGCCCAAGCUGUGUGUGGAGGCGAGUCUGACUAAAGCUAGUCGGAACUUCUCGACCUCACACACCAGCUCGGACUCCUUCCCUGCCAGAGAGGUGACAUUUCACGUCCCUUGAGCCAGCUUCUGAUCGGAUCGCCAAGGUCCCUGCCUUCGGCCACCACCCAACUCACACUGCACCCGACCCCUAUGGGCCCUCCCACAGGUGGUGAUUCCAUGGGAAGCCCAUCCCAUUCAAGGAUUUCAAAAAAUGGUGGGAACUUCUGUUUGCUGCACAGGCACAAACAACAUGCAGGAAAUAGGGUGGGCGGGCUGCCCUCUCGUCCAACGGGGUGAACCCCAACGUCUAGGCACCAAACUGUGGGGCAACAAAUAUCCACACACCUCUUUGGCACCUAGGGCAAAUGCAGAGUGGAAGAGAUCCCUCUCAAGAGACUGGCCCAAGCCACAGGCUCUCAAACUUGCACAGCAGCUCAGGCUCCUUUCCUGCCAGAGGUGAUGGUCCACAUCCCUACAGUCAGCAUCAGCAGCCGGAGAUCAGACCACCAACUGGUUCCUGCUUUCGGUCUCCAUCCAGCUCACACUGCACCCGACCCCUUUGGUCCCUCCAACGGGUGGUGAGCCAAUGAUUGGCAGUUCUUUGUCUGGCUCCCUCUGCUUUCUGCUUUGGUACAUCUCAACCGCGAGGUCCACUGGCUGUCAAGCUUCGCCAUCUAAAGAUUUUAGGAUAUAAUCCAAUUAUG